rnacentral:rRNA from 1 species
CCCCUAGAUGUUCUGGGCCGCACGCGCGCUACACUGAACAGUUCAACAAGUCUUAACCUUGGCCGAUAGGUCUGGGUAAUCUUUGAACGCUGUUCGUGAUUGGGAUAGACCUUUGCAAUUAUGGGUCUUCAACGAGGAAUUCCUAGUAAACGCAAGUCAUCAGCUUGCAUUGAUUACGUCCCUGCCCUUUGUACACACCGCCCGUCGCACCUACCGAUUGAAUGGUCCGGUGAAAUCUCGGGACGGCGGCUUGGUCGCUUGCGUCCGACUGCUGAAACUUAAUUAAACCAUAUCAUUUAGAGGAAGGUGAAGUCGUANCA